rnacentral:rRNA from 1 species
UACGUAGGUGGCAAGCGUUGUCCGGAUUUAUUGGGUUUAAAGGGUGCGUAGGCGGUCUUGUAAGUCAGUGGUGAAAUACGGCAGCUCAACUGUCGAGGUGCCAUUGAUACUGUAGGACUUGAGUACAGACGAGGUAGGCGGAAUUGACGGUGUAGCGGUGAAAUGCUUAGAUAUCGUCAAGAACACCGAUAGCGAAGGCAGCUUACUAGGCUGUAACUGACGCUGAGGCACGAAAGUGUGGGGAUCAAACGGG